UACGGGGGGGGCAAGCGUUGUUCGGAAUUACUGGGCGUAAAGGGCGCGUAGGCGGGCAACUAAGUCGGAUGUGAAAUCCCCAGGCUUAACCUGGGAACUGCAUCCGAUACUGGAUGGCUUGAAUCCGGGAGAGGGAUGCGGAAUUCCAGGUGUAGCGGUGAAAUGCGUAGAUAUCUGGAGGAACACCGGUGGCGAAGGCAGCAUCCUGGACCAAUUCUGACGCUGAGGCGCGAAAGCCAGGGGAGCAAACAGG
rnacentral:rRNA from 1 species